GCACCUUCAUGGACCUGGAGUAGAGUGGGUGUGGCGGGGGGAGCAGGGCCCAGGGCAACCUCUCCCUCCGUGUGCCCAGAUCCUGCAUGCCAA
ensembl:miRNA rno-mir-343 rno-mir-343